GGAUGUAGAGGCAAUCUGGCUGAAACAGCUGUCACCCCACUGAUCACUUAUGUUGAUCUGGCUGGCUAGGCAGGUGUCCCCUUCCUCCCUCAAUGCUCCAGGUGCAUCCUUCUCGCACCUAUGCACCUGUGCACUCAGUCGAAGAAGAUAACCUUCCCCAGUACAGAAGUUCAGACUUAAGCCAAAAAUAAAAUAACUGAACACACACCUAUACACAGAUCAACACCAAUGUCGUGCGUGUGUAUUUAUAUAUAUACAACCCCUCCCUUUCAUUCUUUCUGAAUUGCUAAG
rfam:Otolemur garnettii contig185243, whole genome shotgun sequence.